CCUACGGGUGGCAGCAGUAGGGAAUAUUGCUCAAUGGGGGAAACCCUGAAGCAGCAACGCCGCGUGGGGGAUGAAGGUUUUCGGAUUGUAAACUCCUUUUGUUAGGGAAGAUAAUGACGGUAUCUAACGAAUAAGCACCGGCUAACUCCAUGCCAGCAGCCGCGGUAAUACGGGGGGUGCAAGCGUUACUCGGAAUAACUGGGCGUAAAGAGGGCGUAGGCGGGAUAGCAAGUCAGAUGUGAAAUCCUAUGGCUUAACCAUAGAACUGCAUUUGAAACUGUUGUUCUAGAGUGUGGGAGAGGUAGGUGGAAUUCUUGGUGUAGGGGUAAAAUCCGUAGAGAUCAAGAGGAAUACUCAUUGCGAAGGCGACCUGCUAGAACAUAACUGACGCUGAGGCGCGAAAGCGUGGGGAGCAAACAGGAUUAGAUACCCUAGUAGUC
rnacentral:rRNA from 1 species